rnacentral:lncRNA from 1 species
GGUUGGCAAAGGUCGUAAGCCAUUUUCUGCUAGAACAGGGAGGUUGUCUUGUCUAUUUGUUAAUAAUCAUACUGGAGACUAAUCUAAAUAUCACUUUAAUAAAUUUUCAAAAGCUCAAGUUUAAGUUAGAUUGUGAAGAUUUAAUAAAAUAUGGCUAAUAAUACAAUGUACACAACACUAUGAUGGAGGGAUGAUAUAAUCAUAGUCAUUUGUGCUAUAUUGUUAAACUCGGUGAUUAAAAGGAGAUUUCCAUAUAGAACACAAGGUAACUAAAACAAGAAAAAAUUGUAAUAAAAAAGAAAAAGUCUUUUAUCAAAUGUUACACUUUUCAAAAUCUUUCUAUUAAAUCACAUUUUUCAGAACUUGUUGUUAGAUUGCAUUUUUCAAAUUC